AAAUUUCAAGGAUUUAUUAAAAUGACUGUUUUUGUUUUACUCUAGAUAAAACUGAGUCAGUCUGAGCCCUGCGGAGGAGCCCAGAACGAUUUCUGUUUGUCUCAGAGGCCUGCCUUGCUCUAUCUGUCUCAGAGGUUUGCCUCCACCUCCCGACCCUUGGCCCAGAAGUUUGCCUUCUCUCCCUUCCUUCCCCCUUGUUAGUGGCCUCUGAACCUAAGAAUCUGGCUCGGAACCCAAAUGAAAAUUGCAUGCAGAAUCCCAUCUAAGUCUUAGCAGCAGUGUUGCACUUGUUUUCUUCUUUAAACUUAGUGAAUACACAGCUAAAGGUUUAGUAUGUCACACAUAUUGUGCUCACCACUCUUCAUGAUGCAAAACUUCACUUCUAGAGUCCAGGACAACUUUCUAAAUUCCUCGCCAGGAAGUGCAUUGCAACACUGCUGAUCCUGGCCCUGUGGUUAAUUCUGCAGCUUUUGAAAAAACCCAAACUGGACAGAGAGUUGCUGAAUUUUUAUAAUGACAGAGGCUUCCAGGAGGAGUGACACGUAUCCCUGCUGGAUGAGCUCACAGUUCCAGUAGGAAGACACAAGCUGAAGGAUUGCAGCAGGAAUGGCUGGAGUGCCAUGGUGUCAUCUCAGCUCACUGCAACCUCUACCCUUUGGUUUCAAGCUAUUCUCCUUGCUCAGCCUCUCAAGUAGCUUGGAUUACAGAUGUUUGCCACCGUGCCCAGAGAUGACCACUUGCAAUUUGUUGUAUAAGAAAUUACCACAAAUUUAGCAGCUUCAAACAGCACCUGAUUAUUAUCUCAGUGCUGGAGGUGAGACAUUAUGGUGGGCAUGGCUGAUUUCCCUGCUUAGGAGCUCACAGGGCUGAAAUCAGGUUCUCAUCUGGGGUCCUCUUCCAACCUCAGCAGUUCUUAGCAGAAUUC
rnacentral:lncRNA from 13 species